UGGCUUCGCAGCCCGGAAGUAUAGCGCCAUUUCCUGACCUUACCAAGUCCACAAGCCAUGUCUCUGCAGUCCCCUUCUUUCUCCCAUUCUUGCAGCCUAGACAGCACCAACCACAGUAAUGAUCAGAAGUUGAAUUUCUAGCUGACCAAUUUACUGUUGAUCCUCCACCAACAGUAGAGCCUGCAAGUAUAAGCACAUUCAUAUUAUCAGUUGCCACUAAUCCACUUGCUUGGUACAUUUCUUCCAUGGCUGGCCCUUCUAGUAGUGACAGGUUUGAUGCUUCUGAAUGCUUGGUUUUGGCUUUGAAUUGGGGGUCACUUCCUGGGUAGUCAAUUGCUUUCCAUGAGAUAUUGUUCCUCUCCUCAUCAACCUGAUACAGUGGCAGAGCAAGAAAUUUUCUUAGAGGUAAACUCUUAACAUGCUAGCUUCUAAUAGAUAUAAGGUUAAAAUACAUGUUUAGUACCUAGCUUUGAGGUUUGUAUCUAUUUGAUCCUUAAACUUUCAAAAGUAUCUACUAAGUUAAACUUUCAAUUUUGUGUCUUAUAUGUCAUAGAAUUCGAAGUUUUUAAGAGUUAAUUGAUCUAUUAGAUAUAAAUUUAAAGUUUGUCUAAUGCAACUCUAAAUUCUUAAU